CUUUUCACAUCUGCAAGGACACUUGGAGGCAACUGCCCAAGGCCACUCUGAGGAGGGUUGAAUGUUCUUUAUUAAAAGGACUGAGGAUCAUGUGUGUUGGUGGGCCUUGGACUCUGCUCUAAGAACAAUGUCUCUCUUGGUUGUUGUGUUGUCCUAGCUCAAAUUUUGCAGUUUCUGCUGUCAUCACAGCUGGGAAUGAGAAAGGGAAGGGGCUCCAGUUGGUCUCCCUCUGCCUCUGGAGCACACGUGGAGGACAUGAGGCUUCCGCAGGAACAGCUCUGAAAGCUGAGUUCUCGGGUCCCUGUGAAGGAGGGAAGCUUGCCUGCCUUGGAGCGUGAAAAAGUCUUGCUGGACAGAAGUCUCACGGUUUAAAACUGGGAAGGGAGAGGAUUGAGAUCACACUAGAAUGCACAGAAAAUUCUUAAAACAAAAAAAUGAGAGAAACUUCAUCAGAAUGUGAAAAGAACUAUAAAGCUACAGUGCUGAAGAGAGGGCAAUACUGGCACUAGAAUGAGAAGAUUCAUGGAACACAGUGGAAAAUGCAGUAAGAGAGCUGCAUACACAUGGAGGCAACCACUCAAGGCCACUCUGAGAAGGGUUGAACGUGCUUUAAAUUAAAAGGACUGAGGAUCAUGUGUGUUGGUGUGUCUUGGACUCUGCUCUAAGGAAGCCUCUGAUUAGGGCCCGGAACCAACUUCCUUUUCGCAUCUGCAGACUCAUGGAGGCAACCACUCAAGGCCACUCUGAGAAGGGUUGAACGUGCUUUAAAUUAAAAGGACUGAGGAUCAUGUGUGUUGGUGUGUCCUGGACUCUGCUCUAAGGCCCUGUGGCUGCCUGGUGCCCUGGGAAUGGUCCGGUCAUGGGCCUCAGCCCAGGAUGAGCAGCCAACAAUGCAAUCCCACGAAGAGUGUGCGGAAGGGAGAGGUUACUUCUCAAGAUGGAGCUGCCAAAUAGGGACACUUUGGAGAGUCUGGCCUGAGAACUUUUAGUUUCAAGAAUGUAUUGCUUUGGAAAAGACAGAAUAAAAGUCCAAGCACUGCCACUUAGAGGUUGUAUGUCCUUGGGAAAGUCACUGUACUUGGCAAUUAUAACCUUUACCCUGGAUACACCAUUCAUCUCCUGGGGCCAGGGGUUGUGCCACCUUGUUCAUUUCUAAACUAAAUGAUAUCUAAGCUAGUCUUUACCACAGUUUAAUUCUUACAAUAAUACUCCAAAGGAGAUAUAAUCAACCACAUUUCACAGAUGAGAGAGUUGGAAUCUUAAAAAGGUUAAACUCUUCGAGGUCAUUUGACGAAUAAAUAAUGGAGCCUGGAUUUCAACUGAAGUCUAACAAAUUCCAAAAUCCUGGCUACCGGCCAUUUAUAUUCGUGUGUGUGUGUAUAUAUAUAUAUAUAAAUUAUAUAACAUAUAUACAUAUAUCAUAUGUAUAUAUAUUAUAUAUAUUUCUUUUUAAGUUAUAAAGUAUAAGAGACCAUGAAGAAAAUUUCAGAAAGAUUUUAGAAACUCAAGGGUCAC
rnacentral:lncRNA from 1 species